ACAAAUGUCUUCUUCUAUACCCUCAGCCACCCAAAGCCUUAUGAGUGGAUUUGAUGGGCGGAAACCGAAAUUAACCCGUCGUGUGUGUAGAUGAAUGUGUC